ACGCUGGCGGCAGGCCUAACACAUGCAAGUCGAGCGGUAGAGAGGAGCUUGCUUCUCUUGAGAGCGGCGGACGGGUGUGUAAUGCCUAGGAAUCUGCCUGGUAGUGGGGGAUAACGUUCGGAAACGGACGCUAAUACCGCAUACGUCCUACGGGAGAAAGCAGGGGACCUUCGGGCCUUGCGCUAUCAGAUGAGCCUAGGUCGGAUUAGCUAGUUGGUGGGGUAAUGGCUCACCAAGGCGACGAUCCGUAACUGGUCUGAGAGGAUGAUCAGUCACACUGGAACUGAGACACGGUCCAGACUCCUACGGGAGGCAGCAGUGGGGAAUAUUGGACAAUGGGCGAAAGCCUGAUCCAGCCAUGCCGCGUGUGUGAAGAAGGUCUUCGGAUUGUAAAGCACUUUAAGUUGGGAGGAAGGGCAGUAAAUUAAUACUUUGCUGUUUUGACGUUACCGACAGAAUAAGCACCGGCUAACUCUGUGCCAGCAGCCGCGGUAAUACAGAGGGUGCAAGCGUUAAUCGGAAUUACUGGGCGUAAAGCGCGCGUAGGUGGUUCGUUAAGUUGGAUGUGAAAUCCCCGGGCUCAACCUGGGAACUGCAUUCAAAACUGACGAGCUAGAGUAUGGUAGAGGGUGGUGGAAUUUCCUGUGUAGCGGUGAAAUGCGUAGAUAUAGGAAGGAACACCAGUGGCGAAGGCGACCACCUGGGCUGAUACUGACACUGAGGUGCGAAAGCGUGGGGAGCAAAC
rnacentral:rRNA from 1 species